GGAAGGAUCAUUAUCGUACAACGAGGAAGCCCGAGUGCUGUCGCUGAUCCCCCUUCUGAGGGGUCGUGCACGCCCUCGGUGCCUUCCUCAUACAAUCAAUCCAUCUUACCCUUUGUGCAUCACCGCCGUGGGCCCGGUAACGGGCCUGCGCCUUUUACAUACACAUCCUUAGAAUUCACCUUAGAAUGUCAUUUUGCAUUUCUAUGCAAUCAAUACAACUUUCAACAACGGAUCUCUUGGCUCUCGCAUCGAUGAAGAACGCAGCGAAAUGCGAUACGUAAUGUGAAUUGCAGAAUUCAGUGAAUCAUCGAAUCUUUGAACGCACCUUGCGCCCCUUGGUAUUCCGAGGGGUACACCCGUUUGAGUGUCGUGAAAUCCUCAACCCUUCUCCAUUUUUGGAGAAAGGCUUGGAAUUUGGAGGCUUGUGCUGGCCUCUCUUGAAGCCAGCUCCUCUUAAACUCAUUAGCAGGGUUCUCCUUGGCCAGAAUCCCUUGACGUGAUAAAGGUUUUUACGUCUCGAGGGCAUUUUUUUCGGCUCUGCCUGCUUAUAAAGGUCUCAUUGAGACAGAAACUUAAUUGUGAACCCCUUGACCUCAAAUCGGGUGAGACUACCCGCUGAACUUAAGCAUAUCAAUAAGCGGAGGAAAAGAAACUAACAAGGAUUCCCCUAGUAACUGCGAGUGAAGCGGGAAAAGCUCAAAUUUAAAAUCUGGCGGUCUUUGGCCGUUCGAAUUGUAAUUUAGAGAAGCGUCUUCCGCAUCGGACCGUGCACAAGUCUCCUGGAACGGAGCGUCAUAGAGGGUGAGAAUCCCGUCUUUGGUGCGGACCCCCGUUGCUUUUGUGAUGCGCUCUCAAAGAGUCGAGUUGUUUGGGAAUGCAGCUCAAAAUGGGUGGUGAACUCCAUCUAAAGCUAAAUAUUGGCGAGAGACCGAUAGCGAACAAGUACCGUGAGGGAAAGAUGAAAAGCACUUUGGAAAGAGAGUGAAACAGUACGUGAAAUUGUUGAAAGGGAAACGCUUGAAGUCAGUCGCGUCGAUCGAGACUCAGCCUCGCCUCGGCUUGGUGUACUUCUCGACUGACGGGCCAGCAUCAAUUUUGCCUCUCGGAUAAUGGCAAGGGAAAGGUGACACCCUUAUGGGUGUGUUAUAGUCCCCUGUCGCAUGCGAGGGGUGGGAUUGAGGGACUCAGCACGCACCUUCACGGGUGUCGGGGCUUCGGCCCACGUUACGUGCUUAGGAUGUUGGCGUAAUGGCUUUAAACGACCCGUCUUGAAACACGGACCAAGGAGUCUAACAUGCCCGCGAGUGUUCGGGUGGAAAACCCGUACGCGAAAUGAAAGUGAAAGUUGGGACCUCUGUCGUGGAGGGCACCGACGCCCGGGCCAGACCUUCUGUGACGGCUCUGCGGUAGAGCGUGCAUGUUGGGACCCGAAAGAUGGUGAACUAUGCCUGAAUAGGGUGAAGCCAGAGGAAACUCUGGUGGAGGCUCGUAGCGAUUCUGACGUGCAAAUCGAUCGUCAAAUUUGGGUAUAGGGGCGAAAGACUAAUCGAACCAUCUAGUAGCUGGUUCCUGC
rnacentral:misc_RNA from 1 species